UGCUCCUCGGGUGACGAGUGGCGGACGGGUGAGUAAUGUCUGGGGAUCUGCCCGAUAGAGGGGGAUAACCACUGGAAACGGUGGCUAAUACCGCAUAACGUCGCAAGACCAAAGAGGGGGACCUUCGGGCCUCUCACUAUCGGAUGAACCCAGAUGGGAUUAGCUAGUAGGCGGGGUAACGGCCCACCUAGGCGACGAUCCCUAGCUGGUCUGAGAGGAUGACCAGCCACACUGGAACUGAGACACGGUCCAGACUCCUACGGGAGGCAGCAGUGGGGAAUAUUGCACAAUGGGCGCAAGCCUGAUGCAGCCAUGCCGCGUGUAUGAAGAAGGCCUUCGGGUUGUAAAGUACUUUCAGCGGGGAGGAAGGCGAUGUGGUUAAUAACCGCAUUGAUUGACGUUACCCGCAGAAGAAGCACCGGCUAACUCCGUGCCAGCAGC
rnacentral:rRNA from 1 species